CCAAUUCAUUGGAGAUGUUGACACCUUGGACAUCAAAGGACAGAUCCCAGUGAAACCAAGAAUGUAUUUAAGAUCUCAUCCCUCAAAACACACCUGGCAACAGUAAAAACGCAUUAAUGACAAAAGUGUCGUCAAAUGUGUCCUUGGCCCAAUUUAACUGUUGUCAUGGUAAUUUACCUUUGAAGAUUUUAUGUAAGAUUUGAAAAAAAAAAGUCUUUAUAGUGGAAAAAUUAUGAAAUAUUAUGCCUGUUUUUCCUCAUAUAUAUGCUUAUAUAUAUAUAUAAAUGUGCGUGUGUGUGUGUUACAUGCUGAGCUGGAUGCCACACCAGUAUCGGAAGUCACCAUUAGAGGAACGCAUCAUCAUUGAGACAUGGUCCCUGACAGCUUUAAGGAGGGCACAUGUUCAAAUGCCAUGUCUGGAGGUGCCAAGAGUUUAAAAGAGCCAAAGGAGGAUUCACAAAGCAUCCAGAAACAUAGACAACGCUAAUUGCCCUUUUUAAAAGCAUUUUAGAUGCUAUCUGUGCUUUGACCAACUAUAUGGAUUCAUAUAUGAUUCAGUGAAAGAUAUCCCUGCAACAGCACUGCCAUGGCAACAGACUGAAACUUUAAGAAUAGAUUUAAGAAUAGUGAUGAUUCCCAGUUUGAUGGUUUCCCCAAGCAAGGAGAAAAUGUCAUGAUGCAAGUUCAAGAAAUGGACCCAAUUCAAAAGAGAAUGAGGAAAAAAAACCUUCCUUUUAAAACACAACACAAUAGCAAUAAAAGCAAAAUAUCG
rnacentral:lncRNA from 1 species